UAGGUAUUCUAAAUGAGCCGAAAAAAACGUACUGCGCGCAAAAAAAUUUGGUCGGGUUGCGCCAACGCUCGGAGAUCCGAUACCAUAAUACAUACGAUUUCACUGAAAACUAAUAUAGAAAGUAGAAUGGACGCCCUUUAAGAUGAUAUGACUUUGCCCGCUGUAAAAUAUAAUUUAAUGCUAAAAAUAAUAGAUUUAAAAGUUUCAAAUGAUUUUUUUACACGAAAAAAAUAUUUUACAGCCGGCAAAAUUAUAUAUUCAAAUCGGGCGUCCAAUUUACUAUAAAAAUGUUAUAAUUUAAUUAACACUUUAUGUAUGGUAUCGGAUCGCAGAAAUAAAAACGAACGCAUACGUAUCGUGAUGACCCGCGCUAACUUUUGCCGGCUUAAAUCUAGUUUUGCGUAAUGUCACGGAACACCCCGCUCAAGUUCAAAGCAGGAUUUUGUGUUUAUUCGCGGAUUACCAUGGAUUUUAAACAAUGUCUAGAGCAAGAUAUUAGCAAAAGAAAGGGGAAACUGAAAGGCCUGUCAAAAAUGUGUAUUGUUUGUGUAAGCACCAACAGGACUACUGAAUACUUUUGAAGGAAACCAUAUGUCAGAUACAUUUUCUAUACUCUGGACCAAUGGAAAGAUCCCUUACUAGUUUCCAUAAUUUGAUGUGUGAUGCCAGUUCACAAUAAUUUAUUACAAUGCUACUCCAAACCUUGAAGAAGAAGACUAACUCAACCAAGAUAUUGACUAUUAAUUACAAUGCUACCCAACCUCAUAGAGAACUUUCCCAAUCAGGAUAUUGACCUGUCUUUUUGAACCUGCUCUAAGAUUUCUGAUAAUUGUAUAAGUUAGGACCUAGACAUUUCCAGAAGUUGACAUUGAUCAAUAACUAACUAGAAGAAAUAAAUUUACUGAUAACAAGUAAAUUUAGGCUAAGCAUGUCAUGAUUAGGGAGCAGAGUAACAAAACUAGAUGAACAUCACAAAGCUAACAGUUAGGAUCAUUUAUAAAGAAUUUUAG